CCUACGGGUGGCUGCAGCCGAGAAUAUUCGACAAUGGGCGAAAGCCUGAUCGAGCGAUACCGCGUGGUGGAUGAAGUGAUUCGUCACGUAAACAUCUUUUAUAGGGGAGGAAGUCAUUGACGUUACCCUAUGAAUAAGGGGCUCCUAACUCUGUGCCAGCAGGAGCGGUAAUACAGAGGCCCCAAGCAUUAUCCGGAAUUACUGGGCGUAAAGAGUGCGUAGGUGGUCGUAUUAGUCGGUCGUCAAAACCCGGGGCUCAACUCCGGAUCCGCGACCGAAACGGUACGACUAGAGGACGCGAGAGGUACAUGGAACUCAUGGUGUAGGGGUGAAAUCCGUUGAUAUCAUGGGGAACACCGAAAGCGAAGGCAGUGUACUGGCGCGUUCCUGACACUCAAGCACGAAAGCGUGGGUAGCGAACGGGAUUAGAUACCCCUGUAGUC
rnacentral:rRNA from 1 species